rnacentral:lncRNA from 1 species
UGCCCAAAAUAAAAAAGGCAUCCCUUCAAUAUUUCGCAUGGAGUUCCUUCCAAGAGAAGGACUCCCCCUAAAUCUUCCAUGCUCACAAGUCUCUAGGCAUCAUCAUAUGGUGCAUAAAAUAAGGGACAAGUGGAAUAUGUAAUGAAAUUAAGAAGAGUAUUAAAGAUGGACUCUCCUUUUCUUAACACAAAAUAAAUGGGGCCUGC